GCCCCCAUCGUCUAGCGGCCUAGGAUACUUGGUUCUCAGCCAAGGGACCGGGGUUCGAGUCCCCGUGGGGGUAC
rnacentral:tRNA from 1 species